UACGUAGGGGGCAAGCGUUAUCCGGAUUUACUGGGUGUAAAGGGAGCGUAGACGGCAUGACAAGUCUGAAGUGAAAUUCCCGGGCUUAACCUGGGCACUGCUUUGGAAACUGCCAGGCUAGAGUGCUGGAGAGGUAAGCGGAAUUCCUAGUGUAGCGGUGAAAUGCGUAGAUAUUAGGAGGAACACCAGUGGCGAAGGCGGCUUACUGGACAGUCACUGACGUUGAGGCUCGAAAGCGUGGGGAGCAAACAGG
rnacentral:rRNA from 1 species